UGGGGAAUAUUGGACAAUGGGCGCAAGCCUGAUCCAGCCAUGCCGCGUGAGUGAUGAAGGCCCUAGGGUUGUAAAGCUCUUUCACCGGUGAAGAUAAUGACGGUAACCGGAGAAGAAGCCUCGGCUAACUUCGUGCCAGCAGCCGCGGUAAUACGAAGGGGGCUAGCGUUGUUCGGAUUUACUGGGCGUAAAGCGCACGUAGGCGGACUAUUAAGUCAGGGGUGAAAUCCCGGGGCUCAACCCCGGAACUGCCUUUGAUACUGGUAGUCUUGAGUUCGAGAGAGGUGAGUGGAAUUCCGAGUGUAGAGGUGAAAUUCGUAGAUAUUCGGAGGAACACCAGUGGCGAAGGCGGCUCACUGGCUCGAUACUGACGCUGAGGUGCGAAAGCGUGGGGGGCAAACAGG
rnacentral:rRNA from 1 species